rnacentral:rRNA from 1 species
UAGUGGCGGACGGGUGAGUAACGCGUGAGUAACCUGCCUUCAAGAGGGGGAUAACAUUCUGAAAAGAAUGCUAAUACCGCAUGACAUAUCGGAACCACAUGGUUCUGAUAUCAAAGAUUUUAUCGCUUGAAGAUGGACUCGCGUCCGAUUAGUUAGUUGGUGAGGUAACGGCUCACCAAGACCGCGAUCGGUAGCCGGACUGAGAGGUUGAACGGCCACAUUGGGACUGAGACACGGCCCAGACUCCUACGGGAGGCAGCAGUGGGGGAUAUUGCGCAAUGGGGGCAACCCUGACGCAGCAACGCCGCGUGAAGGAUGAAGGUUUUCGGAUUGUAAACUUCUUUUAUUAAGGACGAAAAAUGACGGUACUUAAUGAAUAAGCUCCGGCUAACUACGUGCCAGCAGCCGCGGUAAUACGUAGGGAGCAAGCGUUGUCCGGAUUUACUGGGUGUAAAGGGUGCGUAGGCGGCUUUGCAAGUCAGAUGUGAAAUCUAUGGGCUCAACCCAUAAACUGCAUUUGAAACUGUAGAGCUUGAGUGAAGUAGAGGCAGGCGGAAUUCCCCGUGUAGCGGUGAAAUGCGUAGAGAUGGGGAGGAACACCAGUGGCGAAGGCGGCCUGCUGGGCUUUAACUGACGCUGAGGCACGAAAGCGUGGGUAGCAAACAGGAUUAGAUACCCUGGUAGUCCACGCUGUAAACGAUGAUUACUAGGUGUGGGGGGUCUGACCCCUUCCGUGCCGGAG